GAAAUGCGAUACUUAGUGUGAUUGCAGAAUCCCGUGAAUCAUCAAGUCUUUGAACGCAAGUUGCGCCCGAGGCCUCGGCCAAGGGCACGUCUGCUUGGGCGUCGCACUCCAAAAUUGCCCUCCCCCGCGAGGAGCGUAGAUGGCCGUCCGUGUCCGCAAGUGGGGCGGUCGGCUGAAAUGAGCACGAGGUCCGUCGAUCCGUCGCGACGAGCGGUGGUUCCCAAAGGCCGGCGUUGGUUUGCGCUGAUCGAGCGAUGCCUCGUGUGGAACUUUAUCUUUGGUGCCCCGGCCCGCCAGAGCGCGGGCAUGGUGCAUCUUCUACCGCGUCCCCAAGUCAGGCGUGAAUACCCGCUGAGUUUAA
rnacentral:rRNA from 1 species